UACGUAGGCAGCAAGCGUUGUUCGGAAUUACUGGGCGUAAAGAGUGUGUAGGCGGUGUUCCAAGUCUGGUGUGAAAUCUCCCGGCUUAACUGGGAGGGUGCAUUAGAAACUGGAAUGCUAGAGGAUGGGAGAGGUAAGCGGAAUUCCUGGUGUAGCGGUGAAAUGCGUAGAUAUCAGGAGGAACACCAACGGCGAAGGCAGCUCGCUGGGACGGUACUGACGCUAAGGCGCGAAAGCGUGGGGAGCGAACAGG
rnacentral:rRNA from 1 species